UAUCCGGUUAAUAUUCCGGAACCUCCUGAGAGGAGCGAAGUGGUGACGCAGAACGGUAGGCCAGCCGACCCAUUGGACAUGGUCGGUGCUAAGCGCGUAGGCGUUGAGACCCGUAGGAAAAUCCGCGGGUUGAGCUGAGGCGCGAUGGCGUGGCCCAGAGCCUGAAGUGGCCGAGCCGAGCUGCCAAGAAAAGCCUCGUAGUGUUGAAUCUCAGGUGACCGUACCGUAAACCGACACUGGUAGACGAGUAGAGAAUACUAAGGCGAGCGGGAGAACCUUCGUUAAGGAACUAGGCAAAAUAGCCCCGUAACUUCGGGAGAAGGGGCGCCCUCUAGCGUGAAAUGCAAACGCAUCUAGCGCGAGGGGGCCGCAGUGAAAUGGCUCUGGUGACUGUUUAUCAAAAACACAGGUCCCUGCUAAAGCGUAAGCUGAUGUAUAGGGGCUGACGCCUGCCCAGUGCCGGAAGGUUAAAGUGAGGGGUCAGCCUCCUUCGGGAGGCGAAGCUCUGAGCUGAAGCCCCGGUGAACGGCGGCCGUAACUAUAACGGUCCUAAGGUAGCGAAAUUCCUUGUCGGGUAAGUUCCGACCUGCACGAAAGGCGUAACAACUGGAGCGCUGUCUCAACGAAGGACCCGGCGAAAUUGAAGUAUGCGUAAAGAUGCGUAUUACCCGCAGCAGGACAAAAAGACCCCGGCAGCUUUACUAUAGCUUGGCAUUGCGUUUGGACUUAGUUUGUCCAGGAUAGGUGGGAGGCUGUGAAACUGGAGCGCCAGCUUCGGUGGAGCCAUCCUUGGGAUACCACCCUGACUGAGUUUAGACCCUAACCCCAGACCGUCAUCCGGCUGGGGAACCGUGCCAGGUGGGUAGUUUGACUGGGGCGGUCGCCUCCUAAAAGGUAACGGAGGCGCCCAAAGGUUCCCUCAGGCUGAAUGGAAACCAGCCGCAGAGUGCAAAGGCAUAAGGGAGCUUGACUGCAAGACCUACAAGUCGCGCAGAGACGAAAGUCGGGCUUAGUGAUCCCACGGUUCUGAGUGGAAAGGCCGUGGCUCAACGGAUAAAAGCUACGCCGGGGAUAACAGGCUAGUCUUGCCCAAGAGUCCAUAUCGACGGCAAGGCUCGGCACCUCGAUGUCGGCUCAUCGCAUCCUGGGGCUGGAUAAGGUCCCAAGGGUUGGGCUGUUCGCCCAUUAAAGCGGUACGUGAGCUGGGUUCAGACCGUCGUGAGACAGGUCGGUCUCUAUCCGCUGUGGGCGCAGGGAAUUUGAAGGGAGCUGCUCCUAGUACGAGAGGACCGGAGUGGACAGACCUCUGGUGUGUCAGUUGUCGUGCCAACGGCAUCGCUGAGUAGCUACGUCUGGCAAGGAUAACCGCUGAAAGCAUCUAAGCGGGAAACCUGCCCUGAGAUUAGAUCCCCCAAACCACUGUGUUUGUAAGACCGCAGGAAGACCACCUGCUUGAUAGGCGACCGGGUGUAAGCACAGCAAUGUGUGAGCCUAGGCGUACUAAUGGUCGAGAGGCUUCACUAA
rnacentral:rRNA from 1 species